rnacentral:rRNA from 1 species
GAGUUUGAUCCUGGCUCAGGACGAACGCUGGCGGCGGGCUUAACACAUGCAAGUCGCAGGGGAUUCAGGCCUUCGGGCCUGAUGAGACUGGCGCACGGGUGCGUAACACGUAAGCAAUCUGGCUGCAGGAGGGGGAUAACCCCGCGAAAGCGGGGCUAAUACCGCAUAUUUUGCUUCGGCCGCAUGGCCGGGGCAGCAAAGGAGCAAUCCGCCUGCAGAUGAGCUUGCGGUGCAUUAGCUAGUUGGGGAGGUAACGGCUCCCCAAGGCGAUGAUGCAUAGGGGUUCUGAGAGGAAGAUCCCCCACACUGGCACUGAGACACGGGCCAGACUCCUACGGGAGGCAGCAGUGAGGAAUAUUGCGCAAUGGAGGCAACUCUGACGCAGCCACGCCGCGUGCCGGAUGACGGUCCUAUGGAUUGUAAACGGCUUUUUACAGGGAAGAACCGCUCUGACUCGUCAGGGCCUGACGGUACCUGUGGAAUAAGCACCGGCUAACUCCGUGCCAGCAGCCGCGGUAAUACGGAGGGUGCAAGCGUUGUCCGGAAUUAUUGGGUGUAAAGGGUGCGCAGGCGGAGGUUUAAGUCCGGGGUGAAAUCUUGCCGCUCAACGGUAAAAUGGCCCCGGAUACUGGAUGUCUUGAGUGUGACAGAGGCCGGCGGAAUUCGUAGUGUAGCGGUGAAAUGCACAGAUAUUACGAAGAACACCAGUGGCGUAGGCGGCCGGCUGGGUCACAACUGACGCUGAGGCACGAGAGCGUGGGGAGCGAACAGGAUUAGAUACCCUGGUAGUCCACGCCGUAAACGAUGAGUGCUAGGUGUCGGGGGUCAAACCUCGGUGCCGGAGCUAACGCAAUAAGCACUCCGCCUGGGGAGUACGCUCGCAAGAGUAAAACUCAAAGGAAUUGACGGGGACCCGCACAAGUAGCGGAGCAUGUGGUUUAAUUCGAAGCAACGCGAAGAACCUUACCUAAACUUGACAUCCUUCUGAUCGGACCUUAAUCGGUUCCCUCCUUCGGGACAGAAGUGACAGGUGGUGCAUGGUUGUCGUCAGCUCGUGUCGUGAGAUGUUGGGUUAAGUCCCGUAACGAGCGCAACCCUUGUCUUUAGUUGCCAGCAAGUAAUGUUGGGCACUCUAGAGAGACUGCCGUGGAUAACACGGAGGAAGGUGGGGAUGACGUCAAAUCAUCAUGCCCCUUAUGUUUAGGGCUACACACGUGCUACAAUGGCCGAUACAAUGGGUUGCCAACCCGCGAGGGGGAGCUAAUCCCAUAAAACCGGUCGUAGUCCGGAUCGCAGUCUGCAACUCGACUGCGUGAAGUCGGAAUCGCUAGUAAUCGCAGAUCAGCAAUGCUGCGGUGAAUACGUUCCCGGGCCUUGUACACACCGCCCGUCACACCAUGGGAGUCGGUUGCACCAGAAGUCGGUAGUCUAACCUUCGGGGGGACGCCGCCCACGGUGUGGUCGAUGACUGGGGUGAAGUCGUAACAAGGUAGCCGUAGGGGAACCUGCGGCUGGAUCACCUCCUUUCU